rnacentral:rRNA from 1 species
AGGACGAACGCUGGCGGCGUGCUUAACACAUGCAAGUCGAACGGUAAGGCCUUUCGGGGUACACGAGUGGCGAACGGGUGAGUAACACGUGGGUGAUCUGCCCUGCACUUUGGGAUAAGCCUGGGAAACUGGGUCUAAUACCGAAUAUGACCAUGGGAUGCAUGUCUUGUGGUGGAAAGCUUUUGCGGUGUGGGAUGGGCCCGCGGCCUAUCAGCUUGUUGGUGGGGUUACGCCUACCAAGGCGACGACGGGUA